AUUGAACGCUGGCGGCAGGCCUAACACAUGCAAGUCGAGCGCGCGGCGGACGGGUGAGUAAUGUCUGGGAAACUGCCUGAUGGAGGGGGAUAACUACUGGAAACGGUAGCUAAUACCGCAUACCAUCAGAUGUGCCCAGAUGGGAUUAGCUAGUAGGUGGGGUAACGUCUAACGUAGGCGACGAUCCCUAGCUGGUCUGAGAGGAUGACCAGCAACACUGAAACGGAGUACCGGUCCAGACGCCGACGGGAGGCAGCAGUGGGGAAUAUUGCACAAUGGGCGCAAUCCUGAUGCAGCCAUGCCGCGUGUGUGAUGAGGGCCUUCGGGUUGUAAAGCACUUUCAGCGGGGAGGCGUUACCCGCAGAAGAAGCACCGGCUAACUCCGUGCCAGCAGCCGCGGUAAUAC
rnacentral:rRNA from 1 species